AUUGCCCUAGUAACGGCGAGUGAAGCGGCAACAGCUCAAAUUUGAAAUCUGGCCCUCGGGUCCGAGUUGUAAUUUGUAGAGGAUGCUUUUGGUGAGGUACCUUCCGAGUUCCCUGGAACGGGACGCCAUAGAGGGUGAGAGCCCCGUCUGGUUGGAUACCGAUCCUCUGUAAAGCUCCUUCGACGAGUCGAGUAGUUUGGGAAUGCUGCUCUAAAUGGGAGGUAUAUGUCUUCUAAAGCUAAAUACCGGCCAGAGACCGAUAGCGCACAAGUAGAGUGAUCGAAAGAUGAAAAGCACUUUGAAAAGAGAGUUAAAAAGUACGUGAAAUUGUUGAAAGGGAAGCGCUUAUGACCAGACUUGGGCUUGGUUGAUCAUCCUGGGUUCUCCCUGGUGCACUCUUCCAGUUCAGGCCAGCAUCAGUUCGCUGCGGGGGAUAAAAGUUUUGGGAAUGUGGCUCCCUCGGGAGUGUUAUAGCCCAUUGCAUAAUACCCUGCUCCGGACUGAGGUUCGCGCAUCUGCAAGGAUGCUGGCGUAAUGGUCAUCAGCGACCCGUCUUGAAACACGGACCAAGGAGUCGUCUUCGUAUGCGAGUGUUCGGGUGUUAAACCCCUACGCGUAAUGAAAGUGAACGCAGGUGAGAGCUUCGGCGCAUCAUCGACCGAUCCUGAUGUUCUCGGAUGGAUUUGAGUAAGAGCAUACGGGGCCGGACCCGAAAGAAGGUGAACUAUGCCUGUAUAGGGUGAAGCCAGAGGAAACUCUGGUGGAGGCUCGCAGCGGUUCUGACGUGCAAAUCGAUCGUCAAAUAUGGGCAUGGGGGCGAAAGACUAAUCGAACCUUCUAGUAGCUGGUUUCCGCCGAAGUUUCCCUCAGGA
rnacentral:rRNA from 3 species